rnacentral:rRNA from 1 species
UACGAAGGGGGCUAGCGUUGUUCGGAAUCACUGGGCGUAAAGGGCGCGUAGGCGGGCUCUUAAGUCAGGGGUGAAAGCCCAAGGCUCAACCUUGGAAUUGCCUUUGAUACUGGCUGUCUUGAGUUCGGGAGAGGUGAGUGGAAUGCCGAGUGUAGAGGUGAAAUUCGUAGAUAUUCGGCGGAACACCUGUGGCGAAAGCGGCGCACUGGACCACAACUGACGCUGAGGCGCGAAAGCUAGGGGAGCAAACAGG